UACAGAGGGUGCAAGCGUUAAUCGGAGUUACUGGGCGUAAAGGGCGCGUAGGUUGUAUUGUAAGUUAGUUGUGAAAUCCCCGGGCUUAACCUGGGAACUGCGUCUGAUACUGGGAGGCUUGAGUAUGGGAGAGGGAUGUAGAAUUCCAGGUGUAGCGGUGAAAUGCGUAGAUAUCUGGAGGAAUACCGGUGGCGAAGGCGGCAUCCUGGACCAUUACUGACGCUGAGGCGCGAAAGCUAGGGGAGCAAACGGG
rnacentral:rRNA from 1 species